GAUGAACGCUGACAGAAUGCUUAACACAUGCAAGUCUACUUGAAUUUGGGUUUUUUAACUUAGAUUUGGGUGGCGGACGGGUGAGUAACGCGUAAAGAACUUGCCUCACAGCUAGGGACAACAUUUGGAAACGAAUGCUAAUACCUGAUAUUAUGAUUAUAAGGCAUCUUAGAAUUACGAAAGCUAUAUGCGCUGUGAGAGAGCUUUGCGUCCCAUUAGCUAGUUGGAGAGGUAACGGCUCACCAAGGCGAUGAUGGGUAGCCGGCCUGAGAGGGUGAACGGCCACAAGGGGACUGAGACACGGCCCUUACUCCUACGGGAGGCAGCAGUGGGGAAUAUUGGACAAUGGACCAAGAGUCUGAUCCAGCAAUUCUGUGUGCACGAUGACGUUUUUCGGAAUGUAAAGUGCUUUCAGUUGGGAAGAAAAAAAUGACGGUACCAACAGAAGAAGUGACGGCUAAAUACGUG
rnacentral:rRNA from 1 species